rnacentral:lncRNA from 1 species
UUGUGCUUCCUAUUUGUAGUAGUUAGUUUCUUCCUCUUUGUCCACAUUAGUAUGCCGAGGAAAGAGCGGCGGUCAGGCGUGGCAUACAUCCACAAUGACAAAGACCGUGAUCUCACCUUCUACAAGCGACGUUCCGGUUUGUUCAAGAGGGCGACUGACAUCUCUGCCCUCACUAGGGCUAGGGUUGCGGUCGUCCUAGAAACAAACAAUGGAAAGAUGCACUCAUUUGGGACGCCAUUGGCCGAUCCCAUUGUUGAUGCUUUCCUAUUUGGAGCUCCACCAGCAGUUACCUCUGCCGACGAGGCAACCACUGCCAGGAUUGGAAGCCUACAAAACGAGGUGGCUCAGUUGGACAUGGAGAACAUGACCGAGGAAGACAAAAACCAACUUUCCAUCCUUCGUAUGAAAAAUAUCCAAGAAGAGAAUCCAAGUAUGGUGGCAAAUCUUAUCUUCACGAAGGAAAAAGAUCUCAGUCUUGAAGAUCUGACCAAGCUCUUCAGUGAGCUCUCUCGGGUCCAAAAAGACAUUAGAUUGCGGCUACCUCCAUUGCAUGGUCGUGAAGACAUGACCGGUGGCACAUGUGUGGCACAAGCUCUGCAACUACCAAGUGCUGAGGAUCAUUUGGGUACUACUCAUUCACUUAUGCAGUCGUCGUGGCCUCACAAUCACUCACAACUCCAGCUACCUUCAGAUCCACUACCAUCACAACCAGAACAAACUUCGGCACCACCUUUUCCUAUGCAGGAACCACAAAUGUUCCAUUCUGCACCACCAUCUUUAGCUCCCUACUUGGCUUCCCAUGUCCAACCCAUACCAAAUCAGGUACAUGAGCAAACUCCACCAGAGGAGUUGCAUGUUCAGAACUAUGAAAGUCCUUGCAACAUAGUGCAACCACAACAAAAUGAUGCAAACCAUGACUCAACAUAUGGGCAAAAUUUGGAGGCCUCUCCACUAUUGGGGUACUCGAGUGGCAAUGCUUUUUCUAUUGAUGGCCCAUUUAACACUGAACAAUGGGGUUAUGCUCUAUCAGAUCUGUCGUGCUACAAUAGUUUCCUAGGGAUGGAUGCUUACUUAGGCUCUAGCAAUACGGAUCUAGGACAGUCUUCCAUGGUAAAUGGUGGCUGGGUUGAUGUGCCGCCCUCUUCCACUGGACAAGAUAUUGAUAUUCUUACAGACUAUGGAGAGCUGUUGUAGAUGCUAGUUAGCGCUUCCAUGUAAGAGCUAUAUUGAAAUAAAAUAUAUUUAUUUCCAAAUUCAUUAUCCUUUGGACUACUAUCUUAAUUAGGAUGUUUGGAAAAAUAUGCAUGCUCAGUGUUCCAGGUCUUGGUCCAUGAUGUUUUUUCAUCACUACGUACAAUUCUUUUUGUUGUUGUUUAGAUCAUUGUAUCUUACGAAUGAAGGAAGUGGAACAUGUAUUUACAACAAUGCACCUAUCAGAAUAUUGUGAGGCAAACAUUAGCGUGUCAACUAAAAAUAGAAGCCAUGCUCAUUAAAUAAUUAAAUUAAAAGAAAGCAUAGUCCAAACUUCAACACAGGAGACUAGAAUCCAUUACUUUUUCUGGUUGCAUAACACUACCAAGAACAACAACUGCAUCUCAUAUAUGAAUUAAUGAAUAUGAGAAAUCAAGGUUUUCUUAAUAGACGUGAAUAUGCCUUAUCAAGAAAUUAGAACCAUAAUAGACAUGUGAAGAGAUGGUGGCCACCUGUGAUCCAUUGAUACCACAUAUGCACCAUUAACAACAUUGAAAAGCACCGUGGAUCUAGGGCUCUCCAUGAAUAUAUUGUAAAUUGACUUAAUUUUAAAGUAUAUCAUUAAUCAUUGCAAUUACAACAAACUUAAAAGGACAUAAUGACCAUCUCAUAGAAGACGUCAGUUAAUCAACACAUGUAGCCACUUUUAUAGAAGAAUAAUCUAAAUAUAGAACUCACAUAUAACUUAUCAUAAAUACUAUUCUUUUUGGUGGAUGGAAUGCAUGAGCUUUUGUAAAUAACUAAUCUAAGAAUAGUCAUGGUGACAAGAUAUAUUGUCAUUAGUUAAAACAACAUGUAUCUGGCUAAAAACAUGAAAAAGAAACACCUAAUCUCAGACUUCCGCAUGUCAUAGUUUCAAUGAUCAAGUAUUAAUUUUUAUGAUACAACAUGACCUUCAUGUUUAACAUAACACCAAGCUUGGAGAGAUAAUGUUUAAACUAGAUGCACAUCGUACUUAAGAAGACAUACACUUCUGGUGCCAACAUAUAAAGGCACUUCAAAUAUUAAAAUCACAUCACACUUAUUAUAAACCUGACUUAGACUGGAUGGGGUAAUAUCAUGUACUACUAGAGAGUGGCCUAUAACCGACACUCCAUUCAUGACGGGCUUGUAGGUAACACAUCGUCAAACCGUCUUAAUACUCAUCAAAUGCAAGUUUGCUAUCACUAACAGGUGAUUUUGCGGCGCUCAGUGACUGGUAGAAAUCACUAAUUGUUUUGCGGUUGUCACUUUUAAAAUACAAAGAAUUCACCAGAACUACAUUUCAUUAUUACAAAAAGAGAGGGGAAAUCAUAACUAUAUAAAGAGAGGGGAAAUCUUAGUGGUACUUAGCGUGGUUGAAUUACAAAGGGAAGUUUUUUACGAGUGACAAUAGUCUUGUACUACAUAUGUUUAUUUAUUUUCAUUUUCUUUGUGAUACAUAUGUACAAGGAGGGAAUAGAAAAAAAGGAAACACUAGCUAGCUAGUGUAAUUAUACAAAUCUUUCCACUUAAGCCUCAAAAUGUAGAUAACUCUUAUGUUAAAAUAGAGAGACGGGGGGUGAAGAAUAACUAUUCGUUAUCUAGUGUGACGAAUAGUCGAUCCCCAAAUUGAUCAGCAUUAAAAAAUGUUCAUGUAAUGUAAAAAAGUUAUUGGCAUAGUUUGUAGAGAACAUUCACAAUAUUCAAAAAACGAUUAUCAUAUUUCAAAGAUGUUCAUGUGUUUAAACAUAAGUCUGCGGCAUUUUAAAAAACAAUUCAUACAAUGUUAAUUUUUUUUUGUGUAAUCUUCAAAAAAUGUUUCAUACCAUUCAAAAAGGUUCAUGAAUUUGAAGAAAUUUCAAUAGCACUUAAAAACUGUUUGCACGACUAAAAAUGAUAUUCAUGGCAUUUAUGGAAAAUGGUCAUUGUGUGUUUAAGAAAAUUUCACAUUGUAUUUUAAGAUGUUUAAUGUACAUUUGUCAAAUGUUCAAUGUAUAUUUAAAAAAAUAAUACUCAAAUUGUAUUUGGAAGAUGUUUAACAUGUAUCCAAAUAUGAUCAACAUGUAUAUGAAAUUUGUCAACAUGUAUUUAAAUACUGUCAACGUGUAUUUGAAAAAUGCAAAAGAAGGAAAGGAAUGAAAACAUAAAUUCAAUAAAGAGACUGACGAAAACCAAUAGAGAAAACACACAGGAAGUAAAAUUGAAGUAUGCAUAGAAAACACCGAAAAACAAAAAAAAUCACUCGAAAGGUUGUAAAACAAGUUAGUUUUUGAGAAACUGGUUCUAAAACAAGUGUGUGCCACUUUGUACAACCUUUCCAAAUCUGGACCAUUGGGCCCACCCACUAAGGUGGGCUCAGAGGCGAGCUCAGGUUAUAUCUCGCUGACCUUUUCUCGGUUGUACAUAUCUAUUUUUGAGCUGUUUACUUCUCCCUCCGUCCCAUAGCAUAGGACGUUUUUUGACAUUAGUGUAGUGUCAAAAAGUUUCUUACAUUAUGGGACGGUGGGAGUAGAAAACUAACUAUAAGUUCGCCCACAAUUGCUGACAAAUUUCACUCAUUUUCACCAUCUUUUGAAUAAUUUUAAUAAAUGCUUCCAGUUUGAAAAAUAAUUCAUGCAUUUUAAGAAUGUUAGCAACUUUAUAAAAUGUAUUGUGUAUUUAAAAUAAAUGUUUAGGAUAAUUUAAAAAUGCUCAUCAAGUUAUAAAUAUUACCCUAUUAAAAAUAAUUCAUGAAAUUUUAGAAUUUCUCAAACUAAAAAGAUCAUGCUUUAAAAAAAAUAUUAUUAGCAAACUAAAAAAUAUUCGUGAAUUUGUGAAAUAAACUCUACCUGAAUGGUCCAGCAUGCAUGCCUCUUCGGUGAGUUCUAGUAGACCAAGAUUGUUCCAAAACUCCCUUGCAACAUUACAUUCAAAUAGCACGUGCUUUAUAUCUUCAUAAUACCCUGAGCACAUUGUACACAAAUAGUUAUUCGUUACAAUAUUUGCGUAUGCUAUGUAUGUCAUUUGGAGAAGCUUAAAAACAUAUUAUACAAUGAAUUAGCUCUUAGCCUAACAAGCAACGUUUACAUGCUCCUAAAUAAAUGCGAUGGUUAAAGUUAAACUAGAAAAUAUGUAGCUAAGAGAUGACAUCUAGUACAAUGGAUAGAAUUGUCCUAUCUUCUUUACUGACAGACCAUCUCUUAGGUAAGAGAUGGCAAACCUUUACGUCCUCCAUUCUCUCUCUUCUAACUCAGUAGUGAUCUUAGGUGACAUUGUGAAGAUAGCACCAUUGUACACGCUCUAACAUAGCUAGCUGAUGUAGGAUGCACUGAUGAUGGCCCAUGUGACUCAAAACGACAACAGAUGUAUCAUUGGUAGUGCCAACGGUACCUGUCAUUGUUGGCACCGACAUGUCGAAGUACUACCGGUGAAAUAUUUUAUUCUAGGGUUAUAUUUUGGACUUUAAUAAAAAAAUAAUGUUUAAAAUAUCCCUCCAAAUGACAGGGAGUAUCUUGCUUGUGUCUGUCUAGUGGCCCCACAACCACCCGAAAUCAGAAGGGAGUACCUCGCUUUGUACACCGCCUAACCAAAGAGCGCCAUCAAGUAUUAAUGCGCCAUAGAGAAAGACAUCCAUUUAUUCGCGUUAGAUGAGCCCGAUUUAAUGUGUAACUUGCCGUACCUAGAGCCAUCCACCCUAUAUGGACCAGAUAUCAUCGAACACCUUGCUUUAUGUCCGGUUGUCCAACCAAACUAUACCAUCAAGUGUUAAUGAGCCCUAGAGAAAGACAUCGAUAUAUUUGUGCAAGUCACCAUUUUAGCAUGGAUUAAUGUGCAUGUGGCUCCGUAUCAGGAGCUGCCCACCUCAUAUUUUCGGACAACCUAAUCGAAAAGUGGAAGUAUUAAAGAGCCAAAAAGAAAGACAUCGAUUUAUUUGUGCUAGUCACCGUUUCAGUUUGGAUUAAUGCACAUAUUACCAGCAGCCAUCCGCCUUGAAUCGGCAGGGAACCACGGAGUACCUUGCUUCUGUCUGGUUGUCUGGCCGAAUAGUACCAUCAAUCAUUUGUUGUAGAUAAAUACACCAAUUUAUUCAUGCUAGUCACCAGACAGAUGAAUACAGGCCAAGAGUCGUCCCCUUAAAUUGAAAAGGAGCACAUUUCUUCUGUGUGGCUAUCCAACCGAAUAGUAUCAUGCAUUAUUAAUGAGCCUUGGAGAAAUAUAACGAUUUAUUCGUGCUUGUCACCAUUUUAGCUUGUAGUAACAUGCAAAUGGCAACGUAAUGGGAGCCGCCCAUUUCUAAUUGGUAGGAAGAACCUCGCUUCUAUCCAGCUACCCAGCAGAAAAGUGUCAUCAAGUAAUCGCGAGCGAUAGAGAAAGCCAUCAAUUUAUUCAUGCUAGUCACAAUUUUAGCCCGGACAUCGAACCAAUAGGAACCAAGGAGGACCUUGCGUCUGGUUAUCUAGGAGAACAAUAUUGUCGAGUAUUAACAAGCCCUAGAAAAACAUCAAUUUAUUCAUGCAGUUGAUAUGUCCUAUACGUAUCUGGAAAUUUUUAUUGUUUCAUGCUAUACUUAUAUCAUAAUGGCAUAGUAUUGGUAUCAACUUUUAUAGUUUUUCUUGAUUAACCUAUUAAUUCAGUGCAAAGUGCCAUUUGUUCUUUUUUUGGAUUUAAAAAAAAUCAACUUUCCAGGGACCAAAAAACAAGAAAAAAAAUACUAAAUGUCAUGAAGAAAUGAAGCCGGAGGGACCUAGACCCACCUGGUCCCCCCUAGGCCACAUGCCACAGGUCGGCACGAGCAUCCAAGGGGGAGCAUGGACGCCAUAGAAGUUGCCUCCAUUGCAUCUUUCUUCCGUUGCCUUUAUAUACUCUCGAAAACCCCAGAAAUAUUAACAAAGUAUUUUUGCGCCGCCCACCUCUCUGCUCGGGGGAGAUCCAAUCAGGAGGCAUUUUCAGGUACUCUACCAAGGGGGAAUUAAUCACAAAGAUCAUUUACAUGAACAUUCCUGCCACUGUGUUCAUGUGUGAGCUGUCCUUUUUGUACAAUGGGAACAUAACAUUUUUUCCAUUAUAAGAUGGCAUCAGCCUACGUCCUAAUAAGUUAGAUGAAACACUUUUUCUUAUAAUGGCAAUGGUGGGUAAUUAUUUCACUUAAAACUAAUCUAAUGGUUAUAAAUAUUUAGCCUAUUAAAUAUACAGUCGGAUGUUUUUGAUUUUUGAGAGAUCUUCUAGCUUUUUUAUCUUUUUUUCUGGUGAGCCCGUCAAUUACUUUUAAUAUAUAAUACAUAGACAAUUAGUUGUUUUUAUUUUUGAGUUAUUUUCUAGCAUUUUUAUCCUUUUCUGGUGAGCCUGUCAAUUACUUUUUAUACAUAAUAGAUUAGGUUGUGUUGGAUCCUUCCAGAAAAAGCCUUACACAUAUUAUUUUAUGGGCCAUAAAAAACUAGGGCCCAAGAUAUACAUGUGUAACCGAUAAAAUAACAUCUUCCGCGGGAACUGGGCUUAUCAAGGAGGCAGGUCGAUGCUCCGAGUAACAUAUGUGUUAUACCAUGACUUACCAAAUGUCCUAGUAUUUUCUAGUUUCUCUUAGUGUAUCUUUCCUGGUUGGUAUCUCAAUUUCUAAGUUAAGCCCCAAAGCAAGGUCCAUGUUAUACUUGGAUAUUAUGGAUUAAAGGACGACCACUUCUAGAUUAGGUAGUUCCUAGUACAGGACAUGGAUGUAAUCAAUGUGAUCACUCAUACAUUAGGAUGUAAUCAAUGUGAUCAACAAAGGAUUUGGAUGCAAUUAACAACCAAAUAAAUUUGAUCACAAUUAUUUUGUAUAUUAGAGUAAAACUUAGUUGGGUUUAACUCCCAUUAAUACUUCUAGAUAAGGAUAUGGAUGUGGUCAAAUGGCAAUCAUUUAAUAUUUCUAUUUUUAGAAGUGUUAAUAGUUCUAAAUAUGGAUGUGAAUACUUACAUCAGAAGAAAUACAUAUCAGUGAUUGCAAAGAAGGAUGUGGAUGCACUCACAUAUGUAUAUUUGGACGAUAGUUAAUAGUAUCCAUAAAUAGCACUUUUUAUGAGUUAUGUAUGUUAAUUUUUACUAAAGAUUUACAUGAUCUUUGUAUAGUCAAAUAGCACUGCCAUACAAGCCUUUUAAUUCUAUAUAAGGGGAGUACAUCUUCUCAUAUCCUACACCAAUAUGUGGUUAGCCAACAGUACCCCUAAAUCUCUAGUUUUCUGUAGAUCCUUGUGCUUCCUAUUUGUAGUAGUAAGUUUCUCCUCUUUGUCCACAUUAGUAUGCCGAGGAAAGAGCGGCGGUCACACAUGCAAUACAUCCACAAUGACAAAGACCGUGAUCUCACCUUCUACAAGCGACGUUCCGGUUUGUUCAAGAGGGCGACUGACAUCUCUGCCCUCACUAGGGCUAGGGUUGCGGUCGUCCUAGAAACAAACAAUGGAAAGAUGCACUCAUUUGGG